GAAUUCAAUAUUGUCCUUUAAGCUCCUAGAAGGUAGCUACUGUUGUAUCUGGUUCACUGUAUCUAUUGGAUCUAGCAGAGGUCUGGCACAUGGAUAGAGUUUAAUAAAUACAUGUUAAAUAAAUGGACAGAUUUAACCUUAGGCAAUACACAGUUAUGAUUAUACAGUUCAAGUGACUCCCUCAAUGUGGAAAGUCUAUCCAUUAGGAUAGCAAAGUGGCUAAAGUGUAAAGUCUGCAUUUGGGGCUAAUUACUUGAUCUUUUUCUAAAGUUAACUUGUUUUCAAUAUUUGUAGAAUUUUUGGAAGAUUAAAGAUGGAGGUCAGUAUAUAGCUUUUGGUCUAUGGUCUGGCACUUAAAUGACCAAUUGAGGUAAGAUAUUAUCAAUGCUACUUUUACUGUCACUUUUCUUCUUCCUCCUCCUUCUACCUGCACUGAUAGAUGAGAAAGAGUUAGAAACUUUUAAAUGAUAAGGAUAAAGAAGAAACAAUGGGGAUGAUUAAUGAUCAAAGAUACUACACUUUUUUAACUUCUCUGAGUAAUGCCUUCACAAAGUCACAAGUACACCAUUGUAUUUUGAUAUAUAAAUGCAUUAUGUAUUAGAAUUAGUAUAUUUGCAGUACAUCUUUACAAAUGGAAUACCACUAAGUUUAGCCAAAUGUAAAUUUUAAUAUAAAUAGAAAAUAACCAGUGACAGUAGUAAAUAUUGAGAAUAUAAAUUCAUAUGCCCAUAUGAAUAUGAAUUGCCAGGCCACCCACAUGUCAGCAAUGGGAUCCAAGAAUUCUCAAGUAAAAUGCUUACUGCCUCCAGCCUCAAAUUCAUGACAUUAAUUUUCUAAUUAAACAUGCUUGUCUCAUGCAUUUUGUGUUGCUACAGUCUGAUUCUGCACUAAACCAGUUCAAAUUGUUUUAUGUUUUCGGUCUUGAUUCAUUGAUAUGCAUUAGACAAAAUGCUCUUUUCCUUUCCGGCACAGCUAGAUAUCAAAGCUUUCAUUUGUAUUCCACGCAGUUUGGGUAGCAAUCUGGAUUUUCUGUCAACAUUCCAUGAUAUUAUGUUCACGAGACUCAUUCUCCAGAAUGUCAGGGAUAUUUAUAAGCUUGACUGGCAAGAAGGGCCUACGUGACUUUGACAGUGUUCUAACAAAUGUUUGUGGUAUUUACAAACGAGUCAUCUCAUAGGCACCCAGCCAUCACACAAGCUGAUUGCUCAUUGGGCUUACACAGUGAUGAUAAUAAAUAGUCCGUGUAUAAAGAAAGGUUAACACAAACUUUGCUAUAGUCAUGUAAAUUGCACUACAAUAUUUUGAGAUACCUAUACUUGAAUCGCUAGCACAGAUUUUGUGUGUCCCCUUCCCCCACAAAUAGCUAACUUAUUAUUUAUCUUAAAAGAAGUACAUUCUAGAUAAAAUUAUAACAUGAGAAAAGUACUUAUGAUCUCUUUUCUCAGUUUCCUACUCUGACUUACGUGAAUUCCCUAGGCUGGGAAAGAAAACUAUAGGUAAAAGGAAGGAGUUUAAAGGAAGCUUAAGCUAUCGCUUCAGCCUUCUACAUCGGGUAUGAUAAAGUUCUCUGAACUACAAGGUAAGUCUGUUAUCGGGAGGGAAUGGAGAAGGAAGACGUUGAACCCAUCAAAAAUCCCAUCACAUAUAUUCUUCUAUUUUUGCAUAUGGAAGUUGACUCUCAUGACGAUUGCUACACUAAACAAAUUGCUAGAACUUUCCAUUGAUCACUUUUUCUUACCCUACUGUACACUCUUUCCCCUCUUACACCCAACUUGUUGGCUCUCUAUUAGGGCCUUUAAAUGAUGUCUCUAUUUAGGAAAAAAAUUUUCUUUUUAUUACAUAACUUUCAAUGAUUCUUUUCAAGAACAAACUUUCCUUGGUCUUUCCUGGUCUACUGAUAUCAGGAAAGUCUAAGAAACAAUGGUAGUAAAAAAUAUAACCUCCAGAUCUGAAUAAGAUAUAAGAGAACAGUGUUUUUACCAAAAGGAAAACAUAAUAUGAAUAUAUGAAAUAUCAAGAUUAAUAUAUCUUACAUUAUGGUAAAAUAAAUAUACUACUUUACAUAGCAGAAAAUAAAAUAGUUGAGCAAAGGAUAGAUUUGAUAAACAUAUCCAGAAAAGUAAAAAAAUGUUUAGAAAGGUGGGAUUUAUGAAGAAAUUAAAUUUUAUAUCAGGACAUAUGUCGUGUUUUAAAAUUUAAAACAUUUGAUGUCUCUGGAACAGAUAAUAAAACAAAAGAAGUAAAGAUAUGACAGAGCAAAUAUUUCCUUUUCUAAGAAAACCAAGAGACAUGUCUAAAACCAGUAUACAAUGUUAUAAGUAAAUUUUGUCCAAACAGUUCCAAUAAUAGAAUAGAGAUAUAGAGAUAUUAUUAUAUAAUUGAUAUUAUUAUUAGAUACAAUAAUGUAAUAAUCUCUCAAGCACACAAAGAAAAGUGAACAAAUAAGCAAAGGCAGCAAACAAAAUAGGUUUCCUGUGAAAGAAUAAAAGUGAAGAUGGUUGAAGACUGCUUUAUGACUUAAAUGCACCAAGAAAAUGGAGUAAACUCUAAUACUUAAAAAGCUUCGGUUGGUGUGGAAGCCAUGAUAUAGUUCAUGCGUAAAGGCAAAAAAUAAAAAGAUAUUUUCAGAUAGACAAGUUUCAUGUAUGUUUCAUGUAUGUUAUUAGAAUUCUGAAAGAUGAGUCAAAAUAGGAAACUCAAAAUUGGGAAGUAAUGGCUACAAAAGACUAGACCCAAAUAAUGAAAAGUUUUAAAAUAUAGAAAUAAGAAUGAAUAGGGUUUCACGCUCAGAAAUAAGAAUAAAUAGAGUUACAAGCGCAGGUGUUCUUUAAAGUGUGGUGUGUGGGGGUAUGUGGUUGUAUGAGGUUAUGGGUGUGAGCAUGUGUAUGUGCCUCAUACAUGGCGUUCUUUUUGGCAAACGUCUCGACUUCCCCUGCAGCCUCUUUCUACCAUAAUCUAGACUAGGAUACCUCUUCUUUCACUUUGUCUGUUAAGUGGCUGCCAUCAACUUUCUGUUUUCCACAAGCUUUUGAAAAAUGUAUUCUAUUAGUGCAACAUCCUUUCAUUUUUCUUCUUUCAACAGAUUUGUCUUCGGUUUCUUCACUUUGUUCCACAGGAAUCCUGAGAUAGAUGGGGAGCAAUCCCAUUUGUAAACGUGCAGCUAUUAUGAACAAGCUAAGGCUUCAUUUCUUAUGCCCUAAUGCACAUCCUUCUCUGUGUCUGAAUUUACAGCUCAUUGUAGCAAAUGAAACUGAUAUCAAUUUGAGGCAUUAAAGUUUUUAAUUGAAAUGUAAAAUUAUAUAAAGGAUAUCUAUCAUUGAAUAAUCCAUUUUACUUUUUUCAAAUUUUUAUUUUAUAAGAAUGAAUUUAUAAUGACAUAAGUAAUUAUUAAAGUUUACUCUCUAAUUAUGACUGCUAUAUUGAUAGAAAUUAUAUUUUAAAAAUACUUUAGUUAUACUUAAGACAUAUUUGAAUUUAAAUUGUCCCUAAAUCAACAAAAGGAUGAUUUUACCUUUUGCAAUUCUGUCUGCAUCACAUUUAUUCGCGUAUACUACUUUUACAUUACGAAAAUUUAUAUCCAGAUACUCAAAUUGGGUAUUUCAUGGGAAAGACUAUGAUACUGGAAAUCAGAACUUUUGGGGUUUAAUUACACAUUUUCAAUCUCUGUGUGAAGUGGGCAUAUUCUUUAGCCUCUCCAUACUACAAUUUUCUAGUUUGUAAAAAUAAAGAACCUGAAGUAACUGAUUUGUUGGAUCACUUUCUGGUGUACAUUUUUCCAAAAUUUAGGAAAGUAAUUUGGUAAGUGUAAUAUAUUUUGUAUGGAAUUUUAAACAAGUUUUUAUGGUUUAAUCAGCAUUAACCUGGUUUUAUGACUACCUGUGUUCAUGUAAGAAAAAUUUUGCAAGAAAAGCUAGCUAAGGAAACAUUCCUUAAUUUAAAAUUAAAAUAUAGGGAGGAAACAAUAAAACAUUAAUGAAUAACCUAAGAAAUGGACUGCAUAGAAAUAAAGAGUGCUCUCUAGUUAUGUCUCUGGAAUUUAUUAGGAAAGGAUGCAAAUAUGACCAAUGGAAAGCAAGUUCUACUGUAUUUCAUUCAAUUUUUAAUAUCUAUGUAUGUAUUUCAGGAUACCAUGGAUUUCAAAAUUAAAAUGUAAUUUACAUGUUAAUCAUAAUUUGAAGAUAUUUUAGGAGGAUAAACCAUGAACCUCUGCAUUAAUGUCUUAGGAGUGAAAUAAAUUUUUCCCUGUUUAUGUCUCAGGGCUAAGUUUUCACACGUAGAACAUACCACGAGGGAUCUUUCUUCUUGAAGGAAUUACAGAAAGAUUUUAUGACCAGGAUAGAAGAAAAAAAGUGAAUACCUUAAAGAAGAAGACAGAAUGCAUCAUAACAUAAACUACUUAAAAAUAGCCCCAUUCCCAGUUGACGUUUGUCCUUCCAGACAUUACUCUCUAUGAAUUUUCAGUAUUUUAUAGUAGUCCAUGUAUGCAACUAUGUAUUCUGCUUUUUAAAUUUCCCUGUACAAUAUUUUAUAUAAACUAUGCCAUUUUUAAACUUAAACUUUAAUCCCAGUUUGAAAACUUUUUGUGUUAUAUAAAAUAUUGAGAUAAAU
rnacentral:lncRNA from 10 species